CAGCCGCCGCGGUAAUACAUAGGGGGCAAGCGUUAUCCGGAAUUAUUGGGCGUAAAGAGUGCGUAGGCGGAUGAUUAAGUCUGGUGUAAAAUUUCACAGCUUAACUGUGGAGGGUCAUUGGAAACUGGUCAACUAGAGUACGGUAGAGGUAAGCGGAAUUCCAAGUGGAGCGGUAAAAUGCGUAGAUAUUUGGAGGAACACCAGUGGCGAAGGCGACUUACUGGGCCGGGACUGACGCUGAUGCACGAAAGCGUGGGGAGCAAACAGGAUUAGAUACCCUGGUAGUCCACGCCGUAAACGAUGAGCACUAAGUGUCGGAGUAAAAUUCGGUGCUGCAGUUAACACAGUAAGUGCUCCGCCUGGGGAGUACGGUCGCAAGACUGAAACUCAAAGGAAUUGACGGGGACUCGCACAAGCGGUGGAGCAUGCGGUUUAAUUCGAUGCAACGCGAAGAACCUUACCAGGUCUUGACAUACUGUUGCUGGGGUUAGAGAUAAUCCGUUUCUUCGGAACAACAGAUACAGGUGGUGCAUGGCC
rnacentral:rRNA from 1 species